rnacentral:rRNA from 1 species
ACGCUGGCGGCAUGCCUAACACAUGCAAGUCGAACGAUGCUUUCGGGCAUAGUGGCGCACGGGUGCGUAACGCGUGGGAAUCUGCCCCUUGGUUCGGAAUAACAGUUAGAAAUGACUGCUAAUACCGGAUGACGACGUAAGUCCAAAGAUUUAUCGCCGAGGGAUGAGCCCGCGUAGGAUUAGCUAGUUGGUGUGGUAAAGGCGCACCAAGGCGACGAUCCUUAGCUGGUCUGAGAGGAUGAUCAGCCACACUGGGACUGAGACACGGCCCAGACUCCUACGGGAGGCAGCAGUGGGGAAUAUUGGACAAUGGGCGCAAGCCUGAUCCAGCAAUGCCGCGUGAGUGAUGAAGGCCUUAGGGUUGUAAAGCUCUUUUACCCGGGAUGAUAAUGACAGUACCGGGAGAAUAAGCCCCGGCUAACUCCGUGCCAGCAGCCGCGGUAAUACGGAGGGGGCUAGCGUUGUUCGGAAUUACUGGGCGUAAAGCGCACGUAGGCGGCUUUGUAAGUUAGAGGUGAAAGCCUGGAGCUCAACUCCAGAACUGCCUUUAAGACUGCAUCGCUUGAAUCCAGGAGAGGUGAGUGGAAUUCCGAGUGUAGAGGUGAAAUUCGUAGAUAUUCGGAAGAACACCAGUGGCGAAGGCGGCUCACUGGACUGGU